rnacentral:rRNA from 1 species
ACGGGAGGCAGCAGUGGGGAAUAUUGCACAAUGGGGGAAACCCUGAUGCAGCGAUGCCGCGUGAAGGAUGAAGGUCUUCGGAUCGUAAACUUCUGUCCUUGGGGACGAAACAAAUGACGGUACCCUUGGAGGAAGCCCCGGCUAACUACGUGCCAGCAGCCGCGGUAAUACGUAGGGGGCAAGCGUUAUCCGGAAUUACUGGGCGUAAAGGGUGCGUAGGCGGUUUUGUAAGCGUGGGGUGAAAGGCAUCGGCUCAACGGGUGUUAGCCCCAUGAACUGCAUUACUUGAGUACGGGAGAGGAAAGUGGAAUUCCUAGUGUAGCGGUGAAAUGCGUAGAUAUUAGGAGGAACACCAGUGGCGAAGGCGACUUUCUGGACCGCAACUGACGCUGAUGCACGAAAGUGUGGGGAGCAAACAGGAUUAGAUACCCUGGUA